rnacentral:lncRNA from 1 species
GCACAUAAUCCUGCUUAAUUAGAAAAGACUGCUUAAAACAUUUGACUGAUGCAGAAUAUUUCAGGUCAAGAUUGUACACCUCCAUGGAAAUGGGCCUCAGUUGGACCUUGUGCAUCCUUUACAUCAUGUUCCCCCAAAAAGGGUGGUGGUGGCUGUCACACACAGAAACUCCUGAUUCUUGAUCCAGAAGACUUCUGUUGCCAAAGGGAAAUUACAUCCAAGGUACCAACAUUAAGCUACCAUAUAUUAAACAAUUUAUUUUCAGAAGUUUGAACAGAAGUCAAGAAUCAGCAAACAUUUGGAAAAGACCAAUAACAUCAGAAAAGAAGCAGAUAAAUAAAAAAUAACGACUACCAAGGGAAGACAAAAAGUAAAUAAAAGUAAAUUGGUUUGCU